rnacentral:piRNA from 2 species
UAGCUCCUACCACUCUUCUUAGAGACUCUCC